GCCAGCGUAGCCUAAUCGGCAGGGCAGCCGCCUUGUAAGCGGUCAGGUGUGGGUUCGAGUCCCACCGCUGGCU
rnacentral:tRNA from 1 species